rnacentral:rRNA from 1 species
AUUACCGAGUGCGGGUCCUUUGGGCCCAACCUCCCAUCCGUGUCUAUUAUACCCUGUUGCUUCGGCGGGCCCGCCGCUUGUCGGCCGCCGGGGGGGCGCCUUUGCCCCCCGGGCCCGUGCCCGCCGGAGACCCCAACACGAACACUGUCUGAAAGCGUGCAGUCUGAGUUGAUUGAAUGCAAUCAGUUAAAACUUUCAACAAUGGAUCUCUUGGUUCCGGCAUCGAUGAAGAACGCAGCGAAAUGCGAUAACUAAUGUGAAUUGCAGAAUUCAGUGAAUCAUCGAGUCUUUGAACGCACAUUGCGCCCCCUGGUAUUCCGGGGGGCAUGCCUGUCCGAGCGUCAUUGCUGCCCUCAAGCCCGGCUUGUGUGUUGGGUCGCCGUCCCCCUCUCCGGGGGGACGGGCCCGAAAGGCAGCGGCGGCACCGCGUCCGAUCCUCGAGCGUAUGGGGCUUUGUCACAUGCUCUGUAGGAUUGGCCGGCGCCUGCCGACGUUUUCCAACCAUUUUUUCCAGGUUGACCUCGGAUCAGGUAGGGAUACCCGCUGAACUUAAGCAUAUCAAUAAGCGGAGGAAAAGAAACCAACCGGGAUUGCCUCAGUAACGGCGAGUGAAGCGGCAAGAGCUCAAAUUUGAAAGCUGGCUCCUUCGGAGUCCGCAUUGUAAUUUGCAGAGGAUGCUUUGGGUGCGGCCCCCGUCUAAGUGCCCUGGAACGGGCCGUCAGAGAGGGUGAGAAUCCGUCUUGGCGGGGUGUCCGUGCCCGUGUAA